rnacentral:rRNA from 1 species
GACGAACGCUGGCGGCGUGCUUAACACAUGCAAGUCGAACGGAAAGGCCCUGCUUUUGUGGGGUGCUCGAGUGGCGAACGGGUGAGUAACACGUGAGUAACCUGCCCUUGACUUUGGGAUAACUUCAGGAAACUGGGGCUAAUACCGGAUAGGAGCUCCUGCUGCAUGGUGGGGGUUGGAAAGUUUCGGCGGUUGGGGAUGGACUCGCGGCUUAUCAGCUUGUUGGUGGGGUAGUGGCUUACCAAGGCUUUGACGGGUAGCCGGCCUGAGAGGGUGACCGGCCACAUUGGGACUGAGAUACGGCCCAGACUCCUACGGAAGGCAGCAGUGGGGAAUAUUGCACAAUGGGCGGAAGCCUGAUGCAGCAACGCCGCGUGCGGGAUGGCGGCCUUCGGGUUGUAAACCGCUUUCGCCUGUGACGAAGCGUGAGUGACGGUAAUGGGUAAAGAAGCACCGGCUAACUACGUG